rnacentral:rRNA from 1 species
AUGUUUCUUUCCAAACAAGCAUCAGAAGAUGCACAAUGGCACAAGUUAAAGCGGCAGCCCAGUGAGAAAGAAAGGAGCCAUCCAGCUGACGGUGAGGCGUGGCAAGAUUUUGACCGUGAAUAUCCAAAAUUUGCAGAAGACCACAGAAACAUUAGACUUAGCCUUGCCACUGAUGGGUUUAAUCCUUUUGGCAACUUUAACAAAACCUAUAGUAUGUGGCCAGUAUUUGUUGUGCCAUACAACCUUCCACCUUGGGCAUGCAUGAAUCAGUCAAAUUUCAUGAUGGCUUUGCUAAUUUCAGGUCCUAAAUCUCCUGGCAAGAACUUUGAUGUCUUUCUACAGCCUCUUGUAGAAGAUUUACUAGAGCUUUGGAAUGGUGUGCGUACAUAUGAUGCUCUUAGUGGAAAAAUGUUUGAUCUUCAUGCUGCAGUUCCAUGGUGCAUCCACGAUUACCCAGCUCUAAGCACUCUUUCAGGGCGUACCACCAGAGGUUAUUCUGCAUGUAUUCAUUGCGACAAGCACCCUCUUUCUUACGGCUUAAGGAACAAAAUUGGGUAUAUUGGGCACUAUCGUUUCCUUUCAAGGGGACAUCGUUUGCGUAGAAACAAUGAAUUUGUUGGUCUUCAUGAAAGGAAUGAUAAGCCAGGUAAAUUCUCUAGAGAAGAGCUACAAGCAUAA